UACGGGGGGGGCAAGCGUUGUCCGGAAUCAUUGGGCGUAAAGCGCGUGUAGGCGGCCUUGUAAGUCCGUUCUGAAAGUCCGGGGCUCAACCCCGGGAGGCGGAUGGAUACUGCAAGGCUCGAGUACGGAAGAGGCGAGUGGAAUUCCCGGUGUAGCGGUGAAAUGCGCAGAUAUCGGGAGGAACACCAAUGGCGAAGGCAGCUCGCUGGGACGUUACUGACGCUGAGACGCGAAAGCGUGGGGAGCAAACAGG
rnacentral:rRNA from 1 species